UGGGGAAUUUUGGACAAUGGGCGCAAGCCUGAUCCAGCCAUGCCGCGUGCGGGAAGAAGGCCUUCGGGUUGUAAACCGCUUUUGUCAGGGAAGAAAUCUUCUGAGUUAAUACCUCGGGGAGGAUGACGGUACCUGAAGAAUAAGCACCGGCUAACUACGUGCCAGCAGCCGCGGUAAUACGUAGGGUGCAAGCGUUAAUCGGAAUUACUGGGCGUAAAGCGUGCGCAGGCGGUUUUGUAAGACAGAGGUGAAAUCCCCGGGCUCAACCUGGGAACUGCCUUUGUGACUGCAAAGGCUUGAGUGCGGCAGAGGGGGGAUGGAAUUCCGCGUGUAGCAGUGAAAUGCGUAGAUAUGCGGAGGAAACACCGAUGGCGAAGGCAAUCCCCU
rnacentral:rRNA from 1 species